rnacentral:ncRNA from 1 species
AAAAAAUUUUAUAUUGGUUUAUUUAUUAAGUAUUAUUUUUUAUUAUAUGUAAAUUUUUAUUAGAUAGUAGAAUUGCAGUAAUUAAAUUUAAAUAUUCAAGUAAUUGAGAUUUAGAAAUAAUAAAUAAUAUAAACAAAAUUUGUGCCAGCAGUUGCGGUUACACAAAUUAUAUAAUUUAAUAUUUUUAAUUAUAGUCGUUUAUUUUUAAAAAUUUAAAAUGGAGAUUUAUUUAGUGAAAUUUUAAAUUUAACUAGAAAAUUUAAUAAUUAAAUAUAUUAAGAAAUUUUAAUUAUAAACUAGGAUUAGAUACCCUAUUAUUUAAAAUGUAGUAAUAAAUAUUAAAUUAGUAUUAGUUAUGUUCUUGAAAAUUAAAAAAUUUGGCGGUAUUUUAGUCUCUUCAGAGGAACCUGUUUUAUAAAUGAUAUUCCACGAUUUAAUUUACUUUUUUUAUUAGUUUAUAUAUCGUCGUAGUUAAAUAUUUUUAAAGAAUUUAAAUAUUUAAGAUUUUUUUUUGAAAAAAUUUCAGAUCAAGGUGUAGUUUAUAAAAAAGAAAAAAUGGGUUACAAUAAAUUUAUUUAAGGAUUUUUAUUAUUAUUAAUAUUUUGAAUAUGGAUUUGAAAGUAAUUUUAAUUAAUUAAUUAGAAUGAUUUGAGCUCUAAAAUAUGUACAUAUUGCCCGUCGCUUUCAUUUAAAAUGAAAUAAGUCGUAACAAAGUAGAUUUACUGGAAAGUGAAUCUAGAUUCAA